rnacentral:rRNA from 1 species
UACGGGGGGAGCAAGCGUUGUUCGGAUUUACUGGGCGUAAAGGGCGCGUAGGCGGUCGUGACAAGUCACUUGUGAAAUCUCCGGGCUUAACUCGGAACGGUCAAGUGAUACUGUCGGACUAGAGUACAGAAGGGGCAACUGGAAUUCUCGGUGUAGCGGUGAAAUGCGUAGAUAUCGUGAGGAAGACCAGUGGCGAAGGCGAAUCUCUGGACAGAUCCUGACGCUGAGGCACGAAGGCUAGGGGAGCAAACGGG